rnacentral:pre_miRNA from 1 species
UAGCUUAUCAGACUGGUGUUUGUAUAAAAUACAUUGCAAACAACAGCUGAUAGGCCGGC